AUGGAACGCUGGCGGCAUGCCUUACACAUGCAAGUCGAACGGCAGCACGGGUGCUUGCACCUGGUGGCGAGUGGCGAACGGGUGAGUAAUACAUCGGAACGUACCUUAUCGUGGGGGAUAACGCAGCGAAAGCUGUGCUAAUACCGCAUACGCCCUGAGGGGGAAAGCGGGGGAUCGCAAGACCUCGCGCGAUUAGAGCGGCCGAUGCCUGAUUAGCUUGUUGGUGGGGUAAAAGCCCACCAAGGCGACGAUCAGUAGCUGGUCUGAGAGGACGAUCAGCCACACUGGGACUGAGACACGGCCCAGACUCCUACGGGAGGCAGCAGUGGGGAAUUUUGGACAAUGGGGGCAACCCUGAUCCAGCAAUGCCGCGUGAGUGAAGAAGGCCUUCGGGUUGUAAAGCUCUUUUGUCAGGGAAGAAACACCGGCUCUAACACAGUCUGGGAAUGACGGUACCUGAAGAAUAAGCACCGGCUAACUACGUGCCAGCAGCCGCGGUAA
rnacentral:rRNA from 1 species